rnacentral:rRNA from 1 species
CCUACGGGUGGCUGCAGUGAGGAAUAUUGGUCAAUGGGCGUAAGCCUGAACCAGCCAAGUCGCGUGAGGGAUGAAGGUUCUAUGUAUCGUAAACCUCUUUUAUAAGGGAAUAAAGUGUGGGACGUGUCCUCUUUUGAAUGUACCUUAUGAAUAAGGAUCGGCUAACUCCGUGCCAGCAGCCGCGGUAAUACGGAGGAUCCGAGCGUUAUCCGGAUUUAUUGGGUUUAAAGGGUGCGUAGGCGGCCUGUUAAGUCAGCGGUGAAAGUCUGUGGCUCAACCAUAGAAUUGCCGUUGAAACUGGGAGUCUUGAGUAUGGUAGAGGCAUGCGGAAUGCGUGGUGUAGCGGUGAAAUGCAUAGAUAUCACGCAGAACCCCGAUUGCGAAGGCAGCCUGCC